rnacentral:rRNA from 1 species
AAUGAACGCUGGCGGCGCGCCUAAUACAUGCAAGUCGAGCGAGAAGACGUAGCAAUACGUUUGUAAAGCGGCGAACGGGUGAGGAAUACAUGGGUAACCUACCCUCGAGUGGGGAAUAACUAGCCGAAAGGUUAGCUAAUACCGCGUACGCUCCUUGGACUUCGGUUCAGGGAGGAAAGCGAUACCGUGGGUAUCGCGCUCUUGGUUGGGCUCAUGUCCUAUCAGCUUGUUGGUGAGGAACGGCUCACCAAGGCUUCGACGGGUAGCUGGUCUGAGAGGACGAUCAGCCACACUGGCACUGCGACACGGGCCAGACUCCUACGGGAGGCAGCAGUAAGGAAUAUUGCGCAAUGGGCGAAAGCCUGACGCAGCGACGCCGCGUGGGGGAUGAAGGUCU